CCUACGGGGGGCAGCAGUGGGGAAUAUUGGACAAUGGGCGAAAGCCUGAUCCAGCCAUGCCGCGUGUGUGAAGAAGGCCUUCGGGUUGUAAAGCACUUUCAGUGGGGAAGAAAGCCUUGGGGCUAAUACCCUCGAGGAAGGACAUCACCCACAGAAGAAGCACCGGCUAACUCCGUGCCAGCAGCCGCGGUAAUACGGAGGGUGCGAGCGUUAAUCGGAAUUACUGGGCGUAAAGCGCGCGUAGGCGGUCUGAUAAGCCGGUUGUGAAAGCCCCGGGAUCAACCUGGGAACGGCAUCCGGAACUGUCAGGCUAGAGUGCAGGAGAGGAAGGUAGAAUUCCAGGUGUAGCGGUGAAAUGCGUAGAGAUCGGGAGGAAUACCAGUGGCGAAGGCGGCCUUCUGGACUGACACUGACGCUGAGGUGCGAAAGCGUGGGUAGCAAACAGGAUUAGAUACCCGUGUAGUC
rnacentral:rRNA from 1 species